AAAUCCGGUUCACUUUAACACUGAGGCGUGACGACGAGGCACUACGGUGCUGAAGCAACAAAUGCCCUGCUUCCAGGAAAAGCCUCUAAGCAUCAGGUAACAUCAAAUCGUACCCCAAACCGACACAGGUGGUCAGGUAGAGAAUACCAAGGCGCUUGAGAGAACUCGGGUGAAGGAACUAGGCAAAAUGGUGCCGUAACUUCGGGAGAAGGCACGCUGACACGUAGGUGAAGUGAUUUACUCAUGGAGCUGAAGUCAGUCGAAGAUACCAGCUGGCUGCAACUGUUUAUUAAAAACACAGCACUGUGCAAACACGAAAGUGGACGUAUACGGUGUGACGCCUGCCCGGUGCCGGAAGGUUAAUUGAUGGGGUCAGCGCAAGCGAAGCUCCUGAUCGAAGCCCCGGUAAACGGCGGCCGUAACUAUAACGGUCCUAAGGUAGCGAAAUUCCUUGUCGGGUAAGUUCCGACCUGCACGAAUGGCGUAAUGAUGGCCAGGCUGUCUCCACCCGAGACUCAGUGAAAUUGAACUCGCUGUGAAGAUGCAGUGUACCCGCGGCAAGACGGAAAGACCCCGUGAACCUUUACUAUAGCUUGACACUGAACAUUGAGCCUUGAUGUGUAGGAUAGGUGGGAGGCUUUGAAGUGUGGACGCCAGUCUGCAUGGAGCCGACCUUGAAAUACCACCCUUUAAUGUUUGAUGUUCUAACGUGGACCCGUUACCCGGGUUGCGGACAGUGUCUGGUGGGUAGUUUGACUGGGGCGGUCUCCUCCUAAAGAGUAACGGAGGAGCACGAAGGUUGGCUAAUCCUGGUCGGACAUCAGGAGGUUAGUGCAAUGGCAUAAGCCAGCUUGACUGCGAGCGUGACGGCGCGAGCAGGUGCGAAAGCAGGUCAUAGUGAUCCGGUGGUUCUGAAUGGAAGGGCCAUCGCUCAACGGAUAAAAGGUACUCCGGGGAUAACAGGCUGAUACCGCCCAAGAGUUCAUAUCGACGGCGGUGUUUGGCACCUCGAUGUCGGCUCAUCACAUCCUGGGGCUGAAGUAGGUCCCAAGGGUAUGGCUGUUCGCCAUUUAAAGUGGUACGCGAGCUGGGUUUAGAACGUCGUGAGACAGUUCGGUCCCUAUCUGCCGUGGGCGCUGGAGAACUGAGGGGGGCUGCUCCUAGUACGAGAGGACCGGAGUGGACGCAUCACUGGUGUUCGGGUUGUCAUGCCAAUGGCACUGCCCGGUAGCUAAAUGCGGAAGAGAUAAGUGCUGAAAGCAUCUAAGCACGAAACUUGCCCCGAGAUGAGUUCUCCCUGAGACUUAAAGUCUCCUGAAGGAACGUUGAAGACGACGACGUUGAUAGGCCGGGUGUGUAAGCGCAGCGAUGCGUUGA
rnacentral:rRNA from 1 species